UGGGGAAUAUUGCACAAUGGGCGCAAGCCUGAUGCAGCCAUGCCGCGUGUAUGAAGAAGGCCUUCGGGUUGUAAAGUACUUUCAGCGGGGAGGAAGGGAGUAAAGUUAAUACCUUUGCUCAUUGACGUUACCCGCAGAAGAAGCACCGGCUAACUCCGUGCCAGCAGCCGCGGUAAUACGGAGGGUGCAAGCGUUAAUCGGAAUUACUGGGCGUAAAGCGCACGCAGGCGGUUUGUUAAGUCAGAUGUGAAAUCCCCGGGCUCAACCUGGAAACUGCAUCUGAUACUGGCAAGCUUGAGUCUCGUAGAGGGGGGUAGAAUUCCAGGUGUAGCGGUGAAAUGCGUAGAGAUCUGGAGGAAUACCGGUGGCGAAGGCGGCCCCCUGGACGAAGACUGACGCUCAGGUGCGAAAGCGUGGGGAGCAAACA
rnacentral:rRNA from 1 species